AGAUGCCAGCAGCAUGCCCACCUCAAUCAAGACAGUCAAAAAUGCCUCCAGACUUUACCAAAUGUCCCUUGGGGGGACAAAACCACCCCCGUUGAGAACUACUGUUUUAUAUUUAAAGUCAAGUGGCUGUUUAGCCAUUUGCUGCCUACAUGUCAGAUAAUCCUAAAAUGGAAUUGGGGGCUGAAUAAAACAGAGGGUACCAAGUUGAGUGAGCCCAUCAGCCUCUGUGUGGGACACUCAUCAGUGAGCUCCAGAAAUGGAAUUCUUCAAUAUCGUUGAUGAGUCAGCAGCCAGAAACUAGUCAUGAACCCACUGUCUCUGGAAAUGGUGAAUUUUUGGUGCAGUGAUGUUCACAGCUCCAUGACCCCUUAGGGCAUGGUUAUGAAUUGUGAUGUUCACUACUCUUUUGAGCCUCAGGGGGGAGUCCUUGUACAGACAAAUUCAAAAGGCUCAGUGGGAAUUUUAAAUUCUUAUCAGAUGCAACAUUUUCUAAAUGAGCUCUCCUUAUACCACAAAACUUCACGUUUUCAAAAUCAAUCUGACUUUGAGGAAUCCUCUAGAGAUUUACUGUUAACAUAAAUUUUUUUUUUCAGAUUUGUAACUCUGUCACCUCUGUUGAAUGAAUUCUGACUUAAUAUAACCAUAAAAGUGGGGGCCCACAGGGAAUGAUUGAAUAACCUGGCGUCUUGGAAUUCACACUAUUUAGCCUGCAAUGUCACAUAGCUUGACCUCUGAAUGAAACAGGUACUGAGUAAACAAGAUAUGGAUUGCAA
rnacentral:lncRNA from 1 species